rnacentral:rRNA from 1 species
GAUGAACGCUGGCGGCGUGCCUAAUACAUGCGAGUCGAGCGAACGGACGAGAAGCUUGCUUCUCUGAUGUUAGCGGCGGACGGGUGAGUAACACGUGGAUAACCUACCUAUAAGACUGGGAUAACUUCGGGAAACCGGAGCUAAUAUCGGAUGAUAUUUUGAACCGCAUGGUUCAAAAGUGAAAGACGGUCUUGCUGUCACUUAUAGAUGGAUCCGCGCUGCAUUAGCUAGUUGGUAAGGUAACGGCUUACCAAGGCAACGAUGCAUAGCCGACCUGAGAGGGUGAUCGGCCACACUGGAACUGAGACACGGUCCAGACUCCUACGGGAGGCAGCAGUAGGGAAUCUUCCGCAAUGGGCGAAAGCCUGACGGAGCAACGCCGCGUGAGUGAUGAAGGUCUUCGGAUCGUAAAACUCUGUUAUUAGGGAAGAACAGAUGUGUAAGUAACUGUGCACAUCUUGACGGUACCUAAUCAGAAAGCCACGGCUAACUACGU